UGGAUAGCUCAGUCGGCAGAGCAUGAAAUCCUUGAUCUCAGGGUUGUGGAUUCAAGCCCCACGUUGGGGAAAAA